rnacentral:rRNA from 1 species
UACGUAGGUGGCAAGCGUUGUCCGGAUUUACUGGGCGUAAAGAGCGCGCAGGCGGUCAGAUAAGUCGAAUGUGAAAGCCCCCGGCUUAACUGGGGAGGGUCAUUCGAUACUGUUCGACUCGAAGGCAGGAGAGGGAAGCGGAAUUCCCGGUGUAGUGGUGAAAUGCGUAGAUAUCGGGAGGAACACCAGUGGCGAAGGCGGCUUCCUGGCCUGUUCUUGACGCUGAGGCGCGAAAGCUAGGGGAGCAAACAGG